rnacentral:rRNA from 1 species
UGGGGAAUCUUGGACAAUGGGGGCAACCCUGAUCCAGCCAUGCCGCGUGAGUGAUGAAGGCCUUAGGGUCGUAAAGCUCUUUCGCCUGUGAAGAUAAUGACGGUAGCAGGUAAAGAAACCCCGGCUAACUCCGUGCCAGCAGCCGCGGUAAUACGGAGGGGGUUAGCGUUGUUCGGAAUUACUGGGCGUAAAGCGCACGUAGGCGGACCAGAAAGUUGGGGGUGAAUCCCGGGGGCUCAACCCCGGAACUGCCUCCAAAACUAUUGGUCUAGAGUUCGAGAGAGGUGAGUGGAAUUCCAAGUGUAGAGGUGAAAUUCGUAGAUAUUUGGAGGAACACCAGUGGCGAAGGCGGCUCACUGGCUCGAUACUGACGCUGAGGUGCGAAAGUGUGGGGAGCAAACAGGAUUAGAUACCCUGGUAGUCCACACCGUAAAACGAUGAAUGCCAGUCGUCGGGUAGCAUGCUAUUCGGUGACACACCUACGGAUUAAGCAUUCCGCCUGGGGAGUACGGUCGCAAGAUUAAAACUC